UACGGAGGGGGCUAGCGUUGUUCGGAAUUACUGGGCGUAAAGCGUGUGUAGGCGGCCACGUAAGUCGGAUGUGAAAGCCCCGGGCUCAACCCGGGAAGUGCACUCGAUACUGCGUGGCUUGAGUACUGGAGAGGUUGGUGGAACUGCGAGUGUAGAGGUGAAAUUCGUAGAUAUUCGCAAGAACACCGGUGGCGAAGGCGGCCAACUGGACCAUUACUGACGCUGAGGCGCGAAAGCGUGGGGAGCAAACAGG
rnacentral:rRNA from 1 species